rnacentral:rRNA from 1 species
GAUGAACGCUGGCGGCGUGCCUAAUACAUGCAAGUCGAGCGAACAGACGAGGAGCUUGCUCCUCUGACGUUAGCGGCGGACGGGUGAGUAACACGUGGAUAACCUACCUAUAAGACUGGGAUAACUUCGGGAAACCGGAGCUAAUACCGGAUAAUAUAUUGAACCGCAUGGUUCAAUAGUGAAAGACGGUUUUGCUGUCACUUAUAGAUGGAUCCGCGCCGCAUUAGCUAGUUGGUAAGGUAACGGCUUACCAAGGCGACGAUGCGUAGCCGACCUGAGAGGGUGAUCGGCCACACGAGAACUGAGACACGGUCAAGACUCCUACGGGAGGCAGCAGUAGGGAAUCUUCCGCAAUGGGCGAAAGCCUGACGGAGCAACGCCGCGUGAGUGAUGAAGGUCUUCGGAUCGUAAAACUCUGUUAGUAGGGAAGAACGAAUGUGUAAGUAACUAUGCACGUCUUGACGGUACCUGAUCAGAAAGCCACGGCUAACUACGUG